GUUCAAAAGCAUGCUGGGUAUCCGGUCCCCUGCCAUCCCCUCUGCCUCGUCAUUGUCAUCGUUUUCAUUGCCAUUGCUGUCCAGCUCUGGCCAGAGCAUGAACAGCCCGGGAGUCUGGGACUCUUCAGCGCCUCAGAUGUGCAGGUGGUUCCCCAGCAUGGCUGCAGCUGACCGCUCUUCUCUCCAAUCCCUUCAUUUCCCCUUUUUUUCUUUAAUACUUUGAAAUUUGCGCUCACUCAGCUCGCAGGGAUCCAGCAGAUGCCUUCAGGAUCUUUCAGCGGUGGGUAGGCAAAUGGCUUCUGAUGAGACUGUCAGAGCACUGCGGGACAUGGUGACGCUGUCUUACUUGUUGCUUUCCUGGGAUACAGCUUCUCCCCAGAGUGUCUGAGUCAAGCUGUCCAGAGUACCACCAUGAUGCACCUCCUAUAGCAUCACCUGGCCCCUCCUGAAGGCAAAUGUUUCAUUAAGAAUCUUGUCAAGUGGUGAAGAAAAAGCCAGAAGUCCUCAUCCACAGGAUGGAAGAGGGUCUCCUGGACAGCCUCUUCAUUGGCACAGCUGUUGAUAAUCAUGUCCCAACAAGGCUGGCACCCUCCAUUCUGGGACAUGGUAGCCAGUACUCAAGAAGUAGCUCUACCUGCAGGACUUCCCAGUACAGGAGCUCCACCUGAAAGAGCAGGGAGGAGUCUCUCAGCUGCCUCGAAGGUUUCCACUUGCCACAGUCCAAUUUUACUACAUACCUAAAGCAUCUGACCAUGAUAAGGAAAGGAAGGGUCAUUUCACUCCCAAGGAUGACAAGGCUACUCUCAAGAUUGUGGGAAACUAAAGUGACUAUGAAAAUCAGACCCUCCAGAAGAUAGAAACAGAGACCAUGAUGGGCAAUUGCUAGAGAAUGGAAUGUCUUCAUGUUAAAUACAUAUGAUUCCUUUUCAUCUUAAAGCAGAAAUGAAUCAACUUCCCUGACUCAAACAUGACUCUGAUCUUCCAGAGAAGAAAAAGAGUUCAUGAAGGACCAUGGACUAAACUAAAAACAGUACCUGGUUUUUUUUCCUUUUUUAGGAAGAUGGGUAUACUUUGCAUCCAUGAUGGGGGAACAAAGGAGAAGAAGAGGGCUAUGGGAAAAUGGGACCUUAUUUCAAGAUAGCCCAGCUGAGAUAGGUCCAUUCCUUUUAUAUGGGCUUUCAUUGUAUUGGCAGGAUCCACUGUGUGUGUUGUCAUGGAAAUGGAAUCUUUGCUAGUAGAGAUGGAGUCAGAUGAAGACAGCAAAUGGUGAGCUGAUGACUUCCUCUGAAGGAAAUAACCCUAGUAUGAAAAGACUUACUUGGACUUGUUUCAGGAUGUCUAGUAGUGUUAGAUUCCCACCCGGUUGUUGUGCCUUCUCUAAUGGCUGCCAUGUGGGAAAAGGGGAAAAGGUCCCUUUGGGGCUAGUGUCUAAGGAAGGAUUAGAGUCUAGCAUGCCCUUGGAUUCAACUGUUGUGGAUCCAUGUGGGAGAGAGCUAGUGCCCAUAGAUACUCUUGAAGAAACGUUGGUUGGAGUAGGAGGGAGGGUUGUUCCAGAAAAGACAUAGUUGUCUGAGUUGUCACUGUACAUUGUUUCCCUGCAGCAGAAUUCACAGGCAGGACUGAUCAGAGCCUAGGCCAUAAGAGGUCCCUCCUAGUGUCUUUAGACUGGGAGGUACCAAAUCUGUGUAUCCAACCUCAAAAAGACUGGUUGGCCAUGUCCUCUCAGCUAGCCAGGGAUAGACCCCUGGGAACUGCUAUCUUUGUGUACUUGCUGGACAAUCCUGUGUCUAAAAGAGAUGAUUUGAGGUAGAGCUAAGAUGGAAUAGAAGCAGGGAAAGCUCCAAUUGCUCUGAAAAUCCUCUCCAACCACUCUAAAAUAACAUUUCAAAAUGAAUUUUGGAGUGAUUGAACCAACACAGGCACAGAGUGCAGUAACUUUCCUGCAGAAAAUAACUUGGAAGGUAGACAGAGGAUCUCUUUCACGGUGGUGAGAGGAGAAUGCAGCUGGCAGCAAAGCUGUACCAAAGAGUAAAGGCACAAGGCAAUAGCAACCCUUGCCAACUGCCCACCUACUGCUUUAGGUCUAGUCAUAGUCAAUUUUGGUACCCUGAGUCCCUGCCUAAGCCGAUUAACAGUACACCCCUUUCCUAAUCCAUGAAAUUCCAAGCCCUAGCUCAAGCCUGUAAUGAGGCCCCAUACCCUAAUGCAAAGCAAUCCAUGGAGUUGCUGGCCAGUGCAACUCUAAGAGGAGGCUAGAACUCUUGGAAAAGACUGCAGUGAGGCACCAAACCCCAGUGUAAGGUAGUCCACAAAGAAUAUGCCUUAUAUAGAUGCAGAGUGCAAUGAAGCCCCAAGCCCCAGUGCAAAAGAGUUCACAGUGCAACUAGCUCAUGUUAGCGCUUGAAACUUCUUCCUGUUUUAAUAAAUAUUAUAAAAAUGACAA